rnacentral:tRNA from 1 species
AUUUCUAUAGCUUAAAUAAGAGUAUAGUACUGAAGAUGCUAGGGUAAUAAUUUUAUUUAGAAGUA